GCAAGUCGAACGGUAACAGACGGAAGCUUGCUUCUGUGCUGACGAGUGGCGGACGGGUGAGUAAUACAUAGGAAUCUGCCCAGUAGUGGGGGAUAACGUGGAGAAAUCCACGCUAAUACCGCAUAUGUCCCACGGGACAAAGCAGGGGACCUUCGGGCCUUGCGCUAUUGGAUGAGCCUAUGUCGGAUUAGCUAGUUGGUAGGGUAAAAGCCUACCAAGGCAACGAUCCGUAGCUGGUCUGAGAGGAUGAUC
rnacentral:rRNA from 1 species